UCCGUAGGCGGGAAUCUAAGUCAGUGGUGAAAUCUUACAGCUCAACUGUAAAAUUGCCAUUGAUACUGGAUUUCUUGAAUUAGUGUGAAGUGGUUAGAAUGUGUAGUGUAGCGGUGAAAUGCAUAGAUAUUACACAGAAUACCAAUUGCGAAGGCAGAUCACUAACACUAUAUUGACGCUGAGGGACGAAAGCGUGGGGAGCGAACAGGAUUAGAUACCCUGGUAGUCC
rnacentral:rRNA from 1 species